AUUGAACGCUGGCGGCAGGCCUAACACAUGCAAGUCGAACGGUAACAGGAAACAGCUUGCUGUUUCGCUGACGAGUGGCGGACGGGUGAGUAAUGUCUGGGAAACUGCCUGAUGGAGGGGGAUAACUACUGGAAACGGUAGCUAAUACCGCAUAACGUCGCAAGACCAAAGAGGGGGACCCUCGGGCCUCUUGCCAUCGGAUGUGCCCAGAUGGGAUUAGCUUGUGGUGGGGUAACGGCUCACCAAGGCGACGAUCCCUAGCUGGUCUGAGAGGAUGACCAGCACACUGGAACUGAGACACGGUCCAGACUCCUACGGAGGCAGCAGUGGGGAAUAUUGCACAAUGGGCGCAAGCCUGAUGCAGCCAUGCCGCGUCGUAUGAAG
rnacentral:rRNA from 1 species